rnacentral:rRNA from 1 species
GACGAACGCUGGCGGCGUGCUUAACACAUGCAAGUCGAACGGAAAGGCCCUGCUUUUGUGGGGUGCUCGAGUGGCGAACGGGUGAGUAACACGUGAGUAACCUGCCCUUGACUUUGGGAUAACUUCAGGAAACUGGGGCUAUUACCGGAUAGGAGCUCUUGCUGCAUGGUGGGGGUUGGAAAGUUUCGGCGGUUGGGGAUGGACUCGCGGCUUAUCAGCUUGUUGGUGGGGUAGUGGCUUACCAAGGCUUUGACGGGUAGCCGGCCUGAGAGGGUGACCGGCCACAUUGGGACUGAGGUACGGCCCAGACUCCUACGGGAGGCAGCAGUGGGAAAUAUUGCGCAAUGGGCGGAAGCCUGAUGCAACAACGCCGCGUGCGGGAUGACGGCCUUCGGGUUAUAAACCGCUUUCGCCUGUGACGAAGCGUGAGUGACGGUAAUGGGUAAAGAAGCACCGGCUAACUACGUG